GGGUCGGUGCCCGAGUGGCUAAAGGGGAUGGGCUGUAAACCCAUUGGCGAGAGCCUUCGCUGGUUCGAAUCCAGCCCGGCCCA
rfam:Phycisphaerae bacterium ST-NAGAB-D1, complete genome.